ACCAGCAUGGUGUAGUGGUCUGAGCAUUGGACUAGGACUCUGGAGACCGGGGUUCAAAUCCCUGUUCCAUUA